UUGGGCCUCAUGUUCUUUUAAAGGUGUUUGACCAGAGUGCACUUUCAACUGAAGCUAAAGAAGAAAUGUACAAACUGUAUCCUAAUGCCUGGAGGGCUCACCUGAAAACAGGAGGCAAUUUCCCAUACCUGUGCAGAAGUGCAGAGAUACAUUUGCUGCAAUUCCAUGGAACCAAAUAUGCGGCUAUAGACCCAUCGAUGGUCAGUGCUGAGGAGCUCGAGGUGCAGAAAGGCAACCUUGGCAUCAGUCAGGAGGAGCAGUAGCCGUUAGAGUUGGCUGUUAGUGAUGAGUGAUCCAGGGUGUUCGUACAAUCAGUGACAUCAGUGCCCACCAGUCGGCCUCUCUCUUCGGUUUGUCAGGUUCACCGGUUAUCGCUGUGUUUGGAACUAGGACUGAUUGUCAUCUUCGUGACAGGCGGCAGCUCUUCUAAGCCAGUGUAACUAUUCCCUCUUCAGUAUUUUUUUUAGCUUUUGAACUUAAAGAAGUACUUUUGAAGAUUCCCAUUUUAAGAAUUGUGAAAAUUUUGCUACCAAAGUCUUCACCACUCUGUUGUUAAGUGAAUGUUAAUUUCUGAAUUUGGGGAUUCUGUGGAUUUUUUUCCUUUCCUUUCUUCCUGUUAUUUGCUGUAAAUCCUGCACAUCCACAUAGUGUAUCAGAAGGACAUUGGUUAUUUUUAUGUUUUCUUGGUUACAAUGUAACAGAGUGCCAAGGCUGUCACCCACUGUUUGCUCUCCUGCAAAUGAACUACUUCUAAUUUCCAGUUAAGCAAAUUGUUUUCCGUUUUGGCUGUUGUCUUUCUACGCAUUACAGUCUUUGGAAUAAAAAUUCAAUUUGAGUGAA